rnacentral:rRNA from 1 species
GAUGAACGCUGGCGGCGUGCCUAAUACAUGCAAGUCGAGCGAACAGAUGAGGAGCUUGCUCCUCUGACGUUAGCGGCGGACGGGUGAGUAACACGUGGAUAACCUACCUAUAAGACUGGGAUAACUUCGGGAAACCGGAGCUAAUACCGGAUAAUAUAUUGAACCGCAUGGUUCAAUAGUGAAAGACGGUUUUGCUGUCACUUAUAGAUGGAUCCGCGCCGCAUUAGCUAGUUGGUAAGGUAACGGCUUACCAAGGCAACGAUGCGUAGCCGACCUGAGAGGGUGAUAGGCCACACUGGAACUGUGACACGGUCCAGACUCCUACGGGAGGCAGCAGUAGGGAAUCUUCCGCAAUGGGCGAAAGCCUGACGGAGCAAAGCCGCGUGAGUGAUGAAGGUCUUCGGAUCGUAAAACUCUGUUAUUAGGGAAGAACAAAUGUGUAAGUAACUAUGCACGUCUUGACGGUACCUAAUCAGAAAGCCACGGCUAACUACGUG